rnacentral:rRNA from 1 species
AGAGAUCAUGGCUCAGGAUGAACGCUAGCGGCAGGCCUAAUACAUGCAAGUCGAACGGCCCAGCAAUGGGCAGUGGCGCACGGGUGCGUAACGCGUAUGCAACCUACCUCCCACUGGGGGAUAGCCCCCCGAAAGGGGGAUUAAUACCGCAUAACACAGCUUGAGGGCAUCCGAGGGCUGUUAAAGAUUUAUCGGUGGGAGAUGGGCAUGCGUGCCAUUAGCUAGUUGGUGGUGUAACGGACCACCAAGGCUACGAUGGCUAGGGGUUCUGAGAGGACGGUCCCCCACACUGGCACUGAGAUACGGGCCAGACUCCUACGGGAGGCAGCAGUAGGGAAUAUUGGGCAAUGGGCGGAAGCCUGACCCAGCCAUGCCGCGUGCAGGAUGAAGGCCUUCUGGGUUGUAAACUGCUUUUACCAGGGAAGAAAACACCCAUGCGUGGGGAACUGACGGUACCUGGGGAAUAAGCACCGGCUAACUCCGUGCCAGCAGCCGCGGUAAUACGGAGGGUGCAAGCGUUGUCCGGAUUUAUUGGGUUUAAAGGGUGCGUAGGCGGCCCCUUAAGUCAGUGGUGAAAGCCCGCGGCUCAACCGCGGAACUGCCAUUGAUACUGGGGGGCUUGAGUACAGACGAAGGUAGGCGGAAUUGAAGAUGUAGCGGUGAAAUGCUUAGAUAUCUUCAAGAACACCGAUUGCGUAGCAGCUUACUAGGCUGUAACUGACGCUGAGGCACGAAAGCGUGGGGAGCGAACAGGAUUAGAUACCCUGGUAGUCCACGCCGUAAACGAUGAUUACUCGAUGUCGGCGAU